GAAGUUAGAAUUUACUGAGGUGUCCAAGUUUGCGCCCCGUUGGACUUAGAUGGAAAAUAAAGUAAACGUUAGAGAAAGAGAAUUUUUAAGCACGGAGUACUAAAAUAUAAAAGCAAAUGUUUUUAAAAUUGUAUCUAAUUUGCUGACCUUAACAGCAUCUUCCCAGAAAAUUAUCUUUUGAGAUUCUUUCAGACGAAAAAUGAAAUCGAAUGUAGGAAAUAUGUUAGUACAUUGAACACUCAUUUCUUACCUUAAUACACCGUAAAAGUAUCAAGCCACUAGGAGUCUGAAGUAAAGGAAAACUCUUGGGUGUGUAGACCUAGAGACCGUCUUGUGCUAUUACACAAAGGUUGGCAUACGACACCAUGUUAUACACAGAUUUUUGGAAGAGGAACUCAUGGAGCUUGCUGGUUCAGCUAGAAUCCAGAGGUCCAUCUCCAUCUCUCCAGUACAGUGAUUACAGUACAGACUUGAUUUGCUCUGCCGUCAUCCGCAACCAUGAAGACGGAAAAAUGUGAUUGGUAUUUCUCCCUGCCUUCAUAAGGACAUGAGAUCAAUAAGCAGAAGAGGCCCUAAAAACAACAUACCGAAUAAUCAGAGACUGAAAUCAUGCUCCUUUUCAAGUUACCAUCUUAGUCACUGUUCUACUGCUGUGAGGAGAUACCGUGACCCUGGGAACGCCUAUCUAAGAAAGCAUUUGCUUGGGGCUUGCUUACAGCUUCAGAAGGAAACAUCUAUUCACAAGAAAAAAGCCAACACAAUGAACCCUCCUCACACAGAGGACUAAGGAGCUGCGAUUGCACAGUUCUACUGGGAAGUUUUGUUUCCCUGGAAUAGAGACAACGGAGGUUGCCAACUCAUCUAACUCUGCGAGCCUUUCGAUAACAAGGGAAGUCGGGCAGAAAGGGAAGGUGGCAGAGAUGAUUCAACAAAGUGCUUGACACACAAGCAAGUCCAAUACUAGAACUAUGCAAAAGAACUUGACUGUGCCAUAUAUCUGUAACCAUGGCUCUGGGGAGACAAAGGCAAGAGGAUGCUUGAAGCUUGCUUGUCCAGCCAAUCUAGCUCUGACCUAAAAUGCCAAGCCCACUGCGCCGCCUGUAUCCAAGAAUGAGCAGAGGGUGUUGGGAUUGAUGACACAAAGUCCAGUCGGUGGUGCAAAAAAAAAACUUUAAGCAGGCCCCAAGAAGGCUCAAGAAGGCUUCCUAAGAAAGGCUUCCCUCAAGAAAAGCUUCCUCCCCCAUUCUUACCCCUGGCUAGUUAUAUGCCCUGACACCAAAGGUAGCAGUGGGGGUGUCAUUGGAAAAAGUCAAGGUCAGGGCGUUCCCAUGGGCGAGCCCUUAUCAGGAACUUAUUGC